UGAGGAAUAUUGGUCAAUGGGGGCAACCCUGAACCAGCCAAGUCGCGUGAAGGAUGAAGGUCUUAUGGAUUGUAAACUUCUUUUACACGGGAAUAAAGUGGGGGACGUGUCCCCCUUUGCAUGUACCGUGUGAAUAAGGAUCGGCUAACUCCGUGCCAGCAGCCGCGGUAAUACGGAGGAUCCGAGCGUUAUCCGGAUUUAUUUGGUUUAAAGGGUGCGCAGGCGGGAUGUUAAGUCGGCGGUGAAAUUUUGCAGCUCAACUGUAAAAGUGCCUUCGAUACUGGCCUCCUUGAGUGUGGAUGAAGUAGGCGGAAUUUGUGGUGUAGCGGUGAAAUGCUUAGAUAUCACGAGGAACUCCGAUUGCGCAGGCAGCUUACUAAGCCACAACUGACGCUCAUGCACGAAGGCGUGGGGAUCAAACA
rnacentral:rRNA from 1 species